UUUAUAUCAGUGGUAACAACAUUAUUACAAAUGGAAUUAUUUACAAUUGGAGGCAAGACAACAAUUUUGCUGUCAGACACAUUGUCAUCAUUAUAAAAAUCAGACAAAGCACAUACAGAAGUAAAAGAAGAACCAGGAGAGGAAGAAGGGGAAGGUGGCACCCAAGACAGUUUGUAUAGUCCAGCUUCCUCUUUACCAAGAUCCAGAGGCCUCUUCAGAGAAGGGUCAUGUAUCAUGUGAAGUAAACAGGAAGUUGGAGUAAACAAAACUAUACAGUGCAAUUGUUUUAUCAACUUGUGAACAGAAAUCAAGUUGNNNNNNNNNNNNNNNNNNNNNNNNNNNNNNNNNNNNNNNNNNNNNNNNNCCCUAACUUGGUCUGUUGCAACAAGCUCAUCAAUUGAUCAUAUUGGUGUCUGCUCAACCCUGGUAUCACAGAGCUGUGACCAUCUAUGUGUGUAACAUAUUGAUGGCUGGCAGGAGGAUCCCCAAGAGGAACACACAUAGUAGAAUUACCAUGAUUAACAAACACACUUUCCUCACCAGUGGAGACAUGAGCAGUUGCAGAUUUCCUUCCCUUGUUGUAUUGUAUGUUUUGAAGAAACCCAUGGAUCUUGUAGCACUUAUCAAUUAAGUGCCCAGAUUUCUUGCAGUAUCUGCAAAAUAUGGGCCCUCUGCUUUGCUCAAAAUUAACUCUGGGUAUGAAAAUAUGGGGAUUAGGCAUUGUGGCCUGAUUAAACCCAACUGAGUGCUUAUUUGCAUUACCAUUAAAAGACAUAGAGUCUGGACUGAUUUGAGAAAUAGAUUGAACUUGUCUCUGUUUCUCAUCAUUAAGCACUAUAUUGUAAACAGUGUCAAGGGAAGGAAAUGGCUGCAUCAUCAACAAGUUACUCCUUUUGCUCAAAAUUAACUCUGGGUCUGAAAAUAGGGGGACGAGGAACUGUGGGUUGAUUAAACCCAACUGAGUGCUUAUUUGCAUUAGCAUUAAAAGACAUAGAGUCUGGACUGAUUCACUGCGGCCUGAUUAAACCCAACUGAGUGCUUGUUUGCAUGAGCAUUAAAAAACAUAGAGUCUGGACUGAUUUGAGAAAUAGAUUGAACUUGUCUCCGUUUCUCAUCAUUAAGCACUAUAUUGUAAACACUGUCAAGGGAAGGAAAUGGCUGCAUCAUCAACAAAUUACUCCUUACCCCUAUGUAUGCUUCAUUUAACCCCAUAAGAAACUGGAAUACCUUAUUUUCAUCAUCUUCCUCAAUUAUUCCAUUAUUAGCAGAACACGCACAUCUCUGCCCAUGAUUUGUGCACAUUGUGCCCAACUCAUCCCACAGGCCUUUGAGCUUGUUAAAGUAUGAGGCUAUGUCUAAGCAGCCUUGAGAUGUAUGGGAAAGUUCCCUUUUUAAUUCAAAGAUUUUGGUCUUGUUAGGGUUACCAUAUCUUUUCUCAAUUUGGGACCAUAUACUUUGUGCAGUAUCAGAAUACUGCACACUAUCAGCAAUCUGAGAAGAUAAGGAAGAGGUCAACCAGGAAAUGACCAUGUUAUUACAUCUAUCCCACAGCCUCUGUUGAGCCACAUUAGUGGUUGGUCGAGGACAUGAGCCGUCAACAAAUCCGAUUUUGUUUUUAGUAGAUAAUGCGACAAUCAUUUUUCUCCUCCAACCCCCAUAACCACUACCCGAGAAGGGAGUGGGUAUAAGAGAGACCCCAGGGACAUCAGAGGAAUAUACUAAGAGGGGGAUGGUAGAGUCUACCGAGGAGGAGGAGGAGGAGGUACCAGCAUUGGUAUUAGAAGCCAUGACUAAUGAAUCAGCUUGAAAGAAAAACAGUUUUGACAAGCAAAAUAUAACGGAACCAGAUACUCACAUACGGAACCAGAUAGUCACAUACAAAGCA
rnacentral:lncRNA from 1 species